AAAUGAAUAGACGGGGACCCGCACAAGCAGCGGAGCAUGUGGUUUAAUUCGAAGCAACGCGAAGAACCUUACCAGGGCUUGACAUGCCCCUGACCGGUCUAGAGAUAGACCUUUACCUUCGGGUACAGGGGACACAGGUGGUGCAUGGUUGUCGUCAGCUCGUGUCGUGAGAUGUUGGGUUAAGUCCCGCAACGAGCGCAACCCUUGCCUUUAGUUGCCAUCAUUAAGUUGGGCACUCUAGAGGGACUGCCGAUGACAAAUCGGAGGAAGGUGGGGAUGACGUCAAAUCAUCAUGCCCUUUAUGUCCUGGGCUACACACGUGCUACAAUGGUCGGUACAACGAGUCGCUACCUAGCAAUAGGAUGCUAAUCUCUAAAAGCCGAUCCCAGUUCGGAUUGUAGGCUGCAACUCGCCUACAUGAAGUUGGAGUUGCUAGUAAUCGCGAAUCAGAAUGUCGCGGUGAAUGCGUUCCCGGGUCUUGUACACACCGCCCGU
rnacentral:rRNA from 1 species